rnacentral:rRNA from 1 species
AGUGAACGCUGGCGGUGGGCCUAACACAUGCAAGUCGAACGGCAGCACAGUAAGAGCUUGCUCUUACGGGUUGCGAGUGGCGGACGGGUGAGGAAUACAUCGGAAUCUACUUUUUCGGGUGGGAUAACGUAGGGAAACUUACGCUAAUACCGCAUACGACCUACGGUUGAGAGCAGGGGAUCGUCUGACCUUGCGCGGUUGAAUUAGCCGAUGUCGGAUUAGCUAGUUGGCGGGGUAAAGACCCACCAAGGCGAGGAUCCGCAGCUGGUCUGGGAGGCUGGUAGGCGACAUUGGAAGUGGGCCACGGUCCAGACUCCUAAGGGAGGGCGCAGUCGGGAAUAUUGGACAAUGGGCGCAAGCCUGAUCCAGCCAUACCGCGUGGGUGAAGAAGGCCUUGCGGUUGUAAAGCCCUUCUGUUGGGAAAGAAACGCAGCCGGUUAAGACCACGCUGUUGUGACGGUACCCAAAGAAUAAGCACCGGCUAACUUCGUG